UACGUAGGGUGCAAGCGUUAAUCGGAAUUACUGGGCGUAAAGCGUGCGCAGGCGGUCCGUUAAGACAGAUGUGAAAUCCCCGGGCUCAACCUGGGAACUGCCUUUGUGACUGCAUAGCUAGAGUACGGUAGAGGGGGAUGGAAUUCCGCGUGUAGCAGUGAAAUGCGUAGAUAUGCGGAGGAACACCGAUGGCGAAGGCAAUCCCCUGGACCUGUACUGACGCUCAUGCACGAAAGCGUGGGGAGCAAACAGG
rnacentral:rRNA from 1 species